CUCCUGCGCGUGCACCGCUGCCCUCAUCACCACGGGCUGCCUCCCCGCGUGCUCCCUGACUGCCCUGCGCCAUAGAACCGUGCCCGUCCGCUCCACGUGCUCGGCUGCUUCGCCCACGCCAAGGAACCCAAGCCGGAGCCCCAGCUGCCUCGCCGGAUUCGCGUCGUCCUCGACAUUACACCCGCCGGCGACCUCCGUCGAAUUCGUCAUCAUCGGGCCUUCCCCGAGCUCGCUAUGCACCUCUACAGGGCCCAUGUGAGCUUCCGCCUCCUUCCCCCUCUGUCCUUCUCUUAAUUCCACCGACGUAGGCGCUGCUGCUCGACUGGCCUGAGCUCGCUCCGCCCGGCGCCCUCUGGCCGCUUUUCCGCCUGCGCAGGGCCACGCUCCGGCUAGACUGGUUGCGUCUCGUACGCGCCCCGUUCGCGAAGUCCACGGGCCGCGGCCUCGCCUUGUGCGCGCAUCCUCCCGCAGCCACCUGCGUCGCGCCGAACGGCUCUCGUUGCGCCCUGCCUCUCCCUAGGUCGAGCCCGGCUGCACACCACGUCGACGUUGCCGUCUCUCGCUCGCCCCGCCCCGCUGGCCGCAGCGCCCGUCGCUGGGCGCCCGCGCCUCCUGUCGCUUGCGCCGCCCGCUUUGCCUCGUCGUCGCCCCGCGCACGGCCUCACCUCCCCGCUGUAGCCACUGCCGUCAAGCCUGCGGCCCACCUUCGCCCGUCCGCCCCCGUUGCUGCCCUCGCCGUCCGCCAUUGCCCCGCCUGCCGCUCGCGCCAUUGCUCAUCGCCGCCCCGCACUGCCGUUGUUGGCAGCUGUCGGCGCCCCGCCCCGGGCGGGCUACGGCCUCCACGGGCGCCCGCCCCGCUUCACCACCUGACAUCCAGCGCCCGACAACCCACCCCGGUCGGCCUGGGCCAUUAACCAGAGGGGGGCGCCCUUGUAAAUAAUAAUAAAAAAAGAUAAUAAAAAUGAAAAUAUUAUUUAUUAAAUAGGUUAUUAAUUAACUUAAUUAGCUUAAUUGAAUUAGCCUAAUUACCUAAGUUAGCUAAUUAAAACUAUUAGUUUAGUUAGGUCAAUGACAGAUGGGCCCCAUUGUCCUGUUUGACCUGUCAACAUUUAGUGUUGACCGCUGACAUCAUGAUGACGUCAUGCUGGUGCAAUAACUCUGUUUUAGAUUCAAUAUUAAUUUCAGAAAAUAUUUUAAAAUUUUGAAAAAUAAUGUAAAUUAAACCGUAACUUGGAUGAAAAAACUUUCUACAUGAAAGUUACUCAUAACGACGAGACGAAUCCGAACACACGGUCCUUUCGUCCGCCACACGUCCCUAGUAGCAAACGUUGAACUUUUCCCCUCCGGUUCAUCUGUUUUCCCCCUUCACCAGUAUCGCCUAACACUGUGUUAGAACACCUCUAGCCCCGCUUAUUGUCUUGUUAUGCAUAUGUUUGUGUGUAUUUACUGUUUCUUCCCCCUCUUCUCUCCGGUAGACCCCGAGACCGAUGCCGAUGUCCCUGUGAUCGACUACGUCGCCGACGACCCUUUUUCCCUUUCAGCGGAGCUUCCAGGCAAGCCCCCCCUUUGAUCAUCCCGAUAUCGCACAUUCCAUUCUCCCAUGCUUGCAUUAAUUUUGCAACUGUAAUUGAUUGCUCCUAUUCUGAUGCAUAGCCUGCUUUUGUAAACUGCUAUUGUACCUUACCAGUUUAUCCUAAACUGCUUAGUAUAGGUUGGUCAGUGAUCCAUCAGUGACCCCCACCUUGUCCUUGUCGCCCCUGCUUCAUCAUCGAUGACUCGAUCAACAUGAUAGACGACCAGAGCCCGACACUUCACUUCACAUCAUGCCCUUUUUGUUGCUCGACUCUACAGAGUUACCAUCGAGUGCCGAGGGUGGUACCUCAUACAUCACUCCUGAUGAAAUCUCUGUAGUGUAGCUAUUCGGUCGUGGUCAUCGAGGGUGAUUCCUCCUUAACCACUUCCGAUAUGACUUUGUCGUGCAACCCCUCAAGUGUGAACCUCGAGGGUGGUUCCUCUUACGUUCACCUUGAUGAUUACAUCGAGUGGAAUCCACCGAGGGUGAUUCCACGGGUUUUCCCCUUGAUGUGUGGACACACGGUUACCUUGACAUUACUUGAGACCAUUGAUGAAGUCGUGUCGGCCCUCAGGGGUACCCGCGAAUUGAUGUGAAAGUCAGGCGGGCCCGCAGAGCACCCACGAGUUUUCCAUGUGGCACGACCAUGGAGUCUGGGCCCUUGCCGUAAGUCCACGAGACGGGGCGACGGGGUCACAUUAUCGUGAGUCUCUGCUUGUCUCCGUGAGCCCCCAAUGCACUAACAAGUUUGGGUAUUUGUUCUGAGUUGGCCUCUGGCCUUUACGCACUAACCACCACGCGAGAAUAGUGAUGAGCCUCGAUGUCGUGGUAUCAGCCGAAGCUUUGUCAGAUGUUCAGUUCAGCAUUGCGGCACGGCUUGGUCGGCGCCCCAGUGGAGGUGGCCUGGAUCGCCCUGCGCGCAACGAUCCGGAGUGCAAGGGGCGAUGGGCCCAGACCCCGGAGUGCUUAGGAUGUAGACUGGUAGGGACCUCUCUGCUGAGCCUAGGUAGGGCUGCGACGUGUUGAUCUUCCGAGGCCGGGCAUUGACCCCAGAAAGGUGUGUCCGGCCAGAGUAAUCGAGCGUGUUGGGUAACGUGAUGCACCCCUGCAGGGAAGUUAUAUACUCGAAUACCGUGUCCACGGUAAUGGAUGUUCAGACUUAUAUCCUGAUCUUAUAUAACUAGAAAUGGAUACUUGAGUUAUGUGAUGGAUAUGUGGCUCUGAGAUUGCUUUCUCGCAGGGAGUCGAGGAAGGAUCUCUGGGCAUUGAUGCUACAACAUGCUUGUUAAAUAUUAAAAUGCUACUCUUUACUCUUCUACAUGCUGCAAGAUGCUUGGAGCUACUUGAAGAUGCUAGUCUUCGAUAGACUAGGCCUUCCACCCUCUAUUUUGGCAUUCUGUAGUUCAGUCCACAGAUACAAACCUUCCAUUUGAUAUCAAUGCACACUUAGUAUAGAUCUGAUGCUUGCGAGUACUUUGGGUGGGUACUCAUGAUUGCUUUGCUACCCCCUUUUCCCCCUUCUUUCUUCUUUCCGGUUGUUGCAACCAG
rnacentral:lncRNA from 1 species